GGAGGGGUGCCCUUCAUCAUCUUGUGAGCAUCUGGGCCAAGUUCAGGGCUGGUGCUCUCGUUCAGAUAGAUUUAGCUGGUGGUGCAGAGAUCCGUGAGCUUGCUUUUACAGGACUUUAAUGAUAUAUAAAAGCAGCACGAGGUGCUCCUGACUGUGGAUUAAUUUGGAGAUGACUUUCUCUGUUGAAGAGUAGCAAGACUCUCGCGAGUUCUUAAAAAUGCACUUGUUUGGUAUGAGAAUGAAAAGCAGUGGCUGAAGAACCAAUCUUCAAUGGGCAAGCCUUCUCUGUGUCUGUUCUAACACGUGCCAUUUGGGAUCCCUUGGAAUCUUCAUGUACAGAACUGGUUGCUGCCUCGUUGAGUCGGUGGGGACAGAAUAGCUCCUGGUUGACAGCAUGGGUUGUGCAGAAGGACGGAUCCUGCAGACAUCAAUAUCUGGCUUUGAGUGGCACAAAGAAAUAAAGGAAUGUGGAUUCAGACCUCACUGGGAUGCUUGGCAAUUCUAAUUCUACCCCAGACUGCAAAUGGACACACAACUGUUGUGACUUUUGUUGAAGAGGAGAAGGAUGGUGAAGGUCUCUUUAGUCAAUAAUCUCUUUGCUGAAAUUGCUUCGGGCAGCACAGAAGCUGGAUUCAGAAGCACACAGGUCUGGGGAUGCAGGCUUCGGCCAGCCUGAUGCAAGGAAAGACUGCCAUCUCGUGGUCAGCUCAAUCCUGGCACCUUGGUGAGGGACCAGGCUGCAGAAAACCAGGCUUGGGGAGGAAACGGUGCUGCAAACUGGAUUUCUGCCGGACAGUGUGGAUGCCCUUAGAAAACACCCAGAAAAGAGCUGAGUGCCCCCCAAGACUUGCCCUGAAUUCUUUCAUGUGCAAUAUCCGAAAACCCUCUCUUGGGGCCUGGAUCAGGACCCCUUUCCUAUAACAUCUUUCUGGCGACAACAAAGGGACAAUGGUGUGGAAUCCCCCUUCCCAAAUGCUACUUUUAGGCUGUUUCCCAUAUAAGGUUCAUGACCCCCAGUGAGGAUGAAACUGCCUGCAAGGUUUGUCUUCUCUCCUGUUCACUGGUUACUCAGCCAGGCUGAUUCAUGGGCUUCUCAAAGGAGCUUGUUUAUCAGAAGCUUGUCUAAGACACCACGUCUUCCAGAAAAUCUCACCUGAGUCACCAACAGAUUCCUCUAAGAGUCUGUAAGCCACUCCUGACCAGCAGGAAACCCCAACAGAGGCAAAGAAUAGGAAAUUAAAUAUUUCGUCAAGAAAAAAUGAGAGGCUGGGUGCGGUGGCUCAUGCCUAUAUCCCAGCACUUUAGGAGGCCUAAGCGGGCGGAUCAUUUGAGGUCAGGAGUUUGAGACCAGCCCGGCCAACAUGGUGAAACCCUGUCUCUACUAAAAAUACAAAAACAAUUAGCUGGGCAUGGUGGUGGGUGCUUGUAAUCCCAGCUACUGGGGGAGGCUGAGGCGGGAGAAUCGCUGAAACCCAGGAGACAGAAGUUGCUGUGAGCCGAGACCACACCACUGCACUCCAGCCUGGGUGAGAGUGAGACUGUCUCAAAAAAAAAAAAAAAAAAAAAAAAAAAGCAAGAAAGCUCCCAUUUAGAUCACUCGGACAAAAGAUUUCUUUUUGUGCCAAAAUGUUCCACUAGGCUUCCAGUUUUUACCACAUAACUUGACAGUCAUGCAAGACUUAAGUGUAUUUUCAGCUAUCCUUUCUCUUUCAUUUAUUUCUGUUUAAUAAGCUCUGUCCAUUGAUUCUAGUUAGUACAUUAUAUAUCUUUUUAAUCACUUACCUGCAGUGAGCAUCUUUCCAUGUUGGUAAAUACCGGUGCUACUACUGUUACUACUGAGUACUUAUUCCAUGUCAAAUCCUCUGCCAAGCAUUUUCAAGCAUUGUCUCAUUGCCUUCUUGCCACAACCCUAUGAAGAGGCCGUGACUGUCCUCAUCCAAUGGAGGAGGAAGCUAAGGCUGAGAGCAAUUAACACAGCUGUGAGUGAACAGGUAGGAUUUAAAGCCAGGCAGUAUGAUUCCGGAGCCUACGCUUUUAAUCACUGUUAUUUUACUCUCCUCCACUCCCCAAAUAUACUGCAUUUUUUUUGUGUGAUUGUAUUGUAUUAUUCUGUUCUAGAUGUACUAUGAUUGAUUUCGUCCAUGCUGUAAUUACACUUCGGUUGGUUUUAGUUUUCACUACUACAAAUGGUGUUGCAACGAACGUCUUUGUGGGCAAAUCUUUACAGGUCAUGAAUGACCCUUUCCUUAGGACACAUAUUGCCAAGCUGAUCUCCACAAAGGUAGUACACGCCCAUCAUAUUGUACAAAAGUAUUCUUUGCCCUCCACCCUUGACACUGGGUUGCAUCUAUUUUUUAAUUAUUGCUGUUAGGAUAGAAGAACAAGGCUGACACAUUGUUGUUUCAGUUUGUAAGCUAGAACACUUCAUUGCACAUUAGCUGUAUUCCUUAGGUGUAUUUCUUGUUCAUGUCCUUUGCCCUCUGAGGUUUGUCUCUUUAUCACAGAUUUGAGAACUUUUUGUAUAUGUCUUAUAUUUUUAGAAUUAAUAAAUUUAGGGCAUAAACCCAAUAGAAAGAAAAACAGACUCAUUCUGUGUUUUGCAUAGCAUCUUACCUCCUAUCCUUCCUCCACAUUGAUAGUAAAGCAUAAGAAAUGAUUCCUGUGCCCAGAGGUUGAAAGCAGGUCCAUUUUAACAAAGUCACUUGGAAGCAUCCCCUUUCUCCAAAAGAAGCUCCCAGCUUCUCCUCCUGCUCUUCGGUCUCAGAGGAAGGGAAGAUGUUGGAGAGGAGCAUAAAAACUUACUUUGGGCCAGGCGCGGUGGCUCACGCCUGUAAUCCCAGCACUUUGGGAGGCCGAGAAGGGCAGAUCAUGAGGUCAGGAGAUCGAGACUAUCCUGGCUAACACAGUGAAACCUUGUCUCUACUAAAAAUACAAAAAAUUAGCCAGGUGUGGUGGCGGGUGCCUGUAGUCCCAGCUACUUGGGAGGCUGAGGCAGGAGAAUGGCAUGAACUCGGGAGGCGGAACUUACAGUGAGCCGAGAUGGCACCACUGCACUCCAGCCUGGGUGACAGAGUGAGACUUUGUCUCAAAAACAAAAACAAAAACAAAAACAACAAAAUAAAACAAAACAAAAACUUACUCUGUAGGGGCCACAUAAUCAGACAACUGGCUUGAGCAGGCCCUAUGCCAUCUUUUAUUGAUAAUGAUGAAUCGGAGCGGCCAGGCCUGGUAUGUGAGUUUUGGACGUGAUCCUAAGUGGAGUUGUCUUGUUUAUACUUGUUUUCCCUUUGUUAUUAUUUUGGCAUUAUCAUGGAUAAUUCCAUACUUCUAGGGUGUAAUUCCAGUGUAAUUAAACUUGAACAGCC
rnacentral:lncRNA from 1 species